UUCUGUGUUAUCUCUUAGACACUAUUGUACUCUUCGAUCCUGAACUCAACCUUCACUCCAAACAAGUCGAUCAUAUACAUACCAAUUCUCAUAACCCAAACCCCAUUUUCCGUUAAUUUACUCUACCAAAGCAAGUAGCAACGUAAUCGAGACAUGCAUCUCUGGCCAACAAAGAAUCUCAGAGAUUCCUUCAAGCUUUCGUACCUCAAAAGGCUCGAAUGGAACUACCAGAGAAUGCAGAUGCAAAAGGACCAAAAAUCCUCGACGGAGCAGAAGCUUCUGGAAAACGAAAACCAGGAUCAGAACAGCGGCGCCGCACCCAACCUCCUCAAUUGUGAAACUGGGUCGGUCGCUUCACUCUUCCAUGAGCUGUUGUUGCUUCUCUCUUGCUGCUACUGUUGCUUUUGCUGUGGUGCUUGUGUUGAUGAGAAUUAAGGGGUUACAUGGCAGCAGUUGCAGUGACCAAGUUUUGUACAGCUGGUUAUUGAUUUUCGUAUAAAUAUUUAGAUUUUAAGAUUAUUAUACACUUGUUUUGUAAUGUGAUUUGUAAAGGGUAUUAAUCGACUGAUUGUACAGGAUUUUUUUCCCUGCAUAUUUUCUACAAUGUCUCUUCAUUUCUAGAUUAGAUUUUUAUUUCCAUGUUAAUUUUUUUUUAAAAUAUUGAUAUUACAUCAAGGACGAGCUCAUAAACUAUUUAAAUGACCUCGAUUCUUGAUCACAUGGAUAAUGUAAGGAGUGGCUACAUAUGCUACGAACUUGUAAUUAAGGAUUCUGGAUAUAUAGGAUUGAUUCUAUGAA